GUAGGGAUGAUUAUUCGUGAUGAUGGGGAUCCAUUCUUCUUCCAUGUUGAUGCCUCCGAUCCUGCCACGAUUCGUCUUGUCGUCCUCCCCGGCAUUCGCAUAGGUCAGGCUCGUGGGGUUGGUGAGUGACAAGGCGGGGAGGAACACGGAUCUGUCUCCCGCAUCGACUUCAUCAGACGGCAGGUAGGAGGUACAACGGCCAGCGACCGGGACGACACCAACAGCCAAAGGAAGCUUGAGGUCUGCUCCUUCUCCACCAGUAGAGAGGAGCCUCCUUUUUGGGUUCCGCGUGUCUGCUCCGAGCCUACCAGCGCCGAUGCCAUG